CAGCAGUGAGGAAGGUGGGUAUGUUAAUAGCAUACUCCAUUUGACGUUAGCUGCAGAAGAAGCACCGGCUAACUCCGUGCCAGCAGCCGCGGUAAUACGGAGGGUGCGAGCGUUAAUCGGAAUUACUGGGCGUAAAGCGCAUGCAGGUGGUUUGUUAAGUCAGAUGUGAAAGCCCGGGGCUCAACCUCGGAAUUGCAUUUGAAACUGGCAAACUAGAGUACUGUAGAGGGGGUAGAAUUUCAGGUGUAGCGGUGAAAUGCGUAGAGAUCUGAAGGAAUACCGGUGGCGAAGGCGGCCCCCCUGGACAGAUACUGACACUCACGAUGCGAAAGCGUGGGGAGCAAACAGGAUUAGAUACCCUGGUAG
rnacentral:rRNA from 1 species